rnacentral:lncRNA from 1 species
CUUUAUUAAUAAAUAAUUAGAUUAUUGUAAUCUAAUUGAUUAUCUCUAUAGUAGAGAUGAUUUGGUAGUGUUAACUGUUUAGAAUAUAACGAUGCUUAAAACCCAAAAGGUUGCAAGGUAGUGACUAAUCCCCAACUAAAGUUGUUGAUACCUCUAAAACAUAAAUUAUGAGUUGGUCAUAGAUGGAUGCUUUGGAUCGUUAGAUCCGGAUCCAAUACCUUCUUAUUAAAAUUGUAUGGAGACGAAAUGUUCGAAUCUUUAUUCUUUUGGAAAGAAGAAAGAAUCACAAAGUUGUUGAGGUUAAUUCACUUAGAUGUUAGUGGCACUUGUCCACAACAUAAUACUACUCAUGUUAUAUGACAUUCACCGAAGAUCACUCUCGGUUGAACUAUAGUUUAUUUUGAAUAAACACAAGUCCGAAUACUUUGCAAAAUGUUUCAAAGAAUUCAAGAAAUGUAAGUUGAUGAGUAAGACGUUUAAAGUAUUUACCUCCUUAGAUUUGAUCCAAGGAAAGGUAACACUUUAGAAAAGUUUCCUUGAAAGAUACUCAAGGAAAGAAGCAUCAUAAGAUAAUGGAUUUCUCCAUUAAGAGAAGAACGAACUCGAAUAAGAUUUAGUUCGUUGAAUGUUAUUAAUUGCCCAUAUAUAGGAUAUAUACUUCUAAAACAAUAUGAUUGUCAAUUAGAAGAUCUUCCAAAAUUUUCAUGACUCCAUAGGAUGUAGUUGGAAAGAAAGACAAAUCUUAAUCAUGUUAAGAUUAGGGGUUGUGUGCUAACAAACAAUAUUUGUUUGAGAAUUAUAUUAUGGAUAUCCUCAAAUUAACCUUUGGAUAUCACUUCUAUAAACCAACUAACCAAUGUUGUUUUGUUGGGUAGUUCAUUGUAAUCCUACAAUAUGAUUUGCCUAAGAUAGAGCAAAUGAACGAGAGAUAGAACUCAAAGAAUGGGUUCUUUUGAGAGCAAGAUGAUGAUCAACAACAAAUAUAUAACAACCUAGUUCCUAUACCACAAGCUCCAAGGUAGUCAAGAAGGAUUUAUAAACCGUCUCAGUAGAAUGGUUUGAACUUUAUGACUAUGUCAUAGAGUUGCACCUCUUAAUUCGAAAGAAAUAAGAAUGAAAAUCCUUAUGACUACAUUGAGUGUAUAUGCGACAUAUACUCAAGGAAAUGGUAAAGUACCAUUUGACUCGAAAUAAUGAAACCUUCAUAGCUAAUUGGUAGCUUAAGGUGACUACAAUCAAAGAGAAUGGUUGACUUUGAAGGAACCAUUUUUUGACGUAGUCUUAGUUUCAAUUAAUUCGAAGAUUGCUAGCUACAACUAAAUGGUGAUUCAAUGUUUAGACAUAAUAUGGGUUUCCGAAACCAUUAUUAAGAUAGUCUUGAUAAUAUAUGUCUAAAACUAUGAAUCACAAGA